rnacentral:rRNA from 1 species
CAAGGAAUUUUCGGCAAUGGGCGCAAGCCUGACCGAGCAACGCCGCGUGGAGGAUGACGGCUUUCGGGUUGUAAACUCCUUUUGGGUGGGACGAUAAUGACGGUACCAUCCGAAUCAGACCCGGCUAACUACGUGCCAGCAGCCGCGGUAAUACGUAGGGGUCGAGCGUUGUCCGGACUUACUGGGCGUAAAGCGUGGGUAGGUGGCCACUGAUGUGCCGUGUGAAAGCGCCGCGCUUCUCGCGGCGAGGUCGCGGUAGACACAGUGGCUCGAGGCACGGAGAGGGGCGUAGAAUUCCCGGUGUAGUGGUGAAAUGCGUAGAUAUCGGGAGGAAUACCAGUGGCGCAAGCGGCGCCCUGGCCGUGACCUGACACUGAGCCACGACGGCGUGGGGAGCAAACGGG